CUCAUGUACUAUCUACAGUACCGGGGCUCUGGUACUAUUGUCUCGUUUUUUAUCUUAGGGUAUUCAAAUCAACGAUCCACACCAUUAAAACUGAUCUAGGGUAUUUAAAAUUUUAAGAAAUAAAAUUUUAUAUUUUUUCUAUAUAGUUACUUUAUGAUCAAACCAUUUCAAAAUUGUCAAUUUUCAAUGGCUACUAUGGCGAGUUUGGAGUUUAACGGUAUAGAAAAAUCUAAAUUUUCUCAAAUUUUGAUAUAAAAUACUUUAAACUAUCUAGAUUAAGGUUAACAUUCUUGAUCUUGAAUUUAAAAGUCCUAUGUUUAAAUUUUAAAGAUUAUUCAAUUUCUACAGUCCAUUUUAACAUAAUUUAUUUACUAAGUAAACGAUGUCGAAAAAAACUAAAAUUUUAUUCCUAAGAACUUCAUAUACCCUAAAUCAUAUUUAACGGUGUGGAUCAUUAAUUUGAACACGCUAAGAUCGAAAACAAAACUAUAGUCCCGAAACUCCGGUACUAUAGAUAGUAUAGUAGACUAAUUAUAUAUAGAGUGCGGCUAGGAUGCUUAUGGAAGCACGGAGGGCUCCGUGCUUCCACUUUGUUUUCGAUGUUCGAACUUUCGAAUCGACGAUCGGCUCCGUUAUACUUGAUCUAGAGUAUUUGAAGUAUCUAGAAAAUAAAUUUUUCGAUUUUUCGAUAUCAUUUGCCUAAUGAUCGAAGUGGCUCAAAAUCAACGGCUGAAAAUAAAAAUCUUAUAAAAUAUGAUGAUACGACAUUAAUAUUUUAGAUCGAAGAUAUUGAUCUUGUUUUAUAUAGUAUAAAAAAUUUUCUAUCAAAAUUUCACGUGAUUUGGAUAUUUCUACACCGUUAAACUUGUAACCGGUUCACCACGGUCGUUAAAAUUAUUAAUUUUGAGCCCCUUCGAUCACUAGGCAAAUGAUAUCGAAAAAUUACAAAAUUUACUUUUUAGGUACUUCAAAUACU
rnacentral:lncRNA from 1 species